GCCAACAAAUACUAUUUUGUAAAAACUGUUCUAAGUGAACCGCGACAUAACAAUCCACAUACGAUAUGGUAUGAUGGACAAUUUUGACCUUUCCGGAGAAGGCUUGGGACUAUGUUUACGCAAAGGUAAUUAUUGAAUCCAAAUUCAUGCACCAUUUGCUGCUGUAUUCCGUCGCCGCCUGGGACGUUUUUUAACAUCAGGAACCGCUGACCGGAUGUUUGAGAAUAGUGUGCCCUUACAUAGUUUACUGGUCGAAAUGCAGUUCUAGCUGUUAAACAGCAAUGGCAGGACAACUACCCUAGUUGCGAACAGCGGAGCUAUCCAUGCUGCCCGUUAACAUUCGGAAAGGCAGUUCAAGAUGGAGUUACAGAGCGACAAUGCCAAGUGUAUGUCACGCCAGAUGUUGGAAAUAUCGAUUUCCUCAUGGCAGCACUUUCAGUUCAAGGCCUACGAUCUACAACUGGAAGACUUCCGUCCAGAUACCAACAGUUUACAUCAAAUAUGACAAUGCAACGCACAUUUGACUACGAACGGUUCCGAACAGUUGGCCUUCUUAAAGGUGAGAAUUUUUGAUGACGAGGUGCGUCUGCAUUACGGUUCGUUAGUUAAUACAGGCGGCAGUUGAAUAGAACUGGAAAGAUAAUCUGUGCGCUGAGGGAAUAAUUAUUGGGUUCAUAAAGUUUAUAUAUAAAUAGUAUUUUAGCCAUUUAGGUAGGACUUUCUGAACAAUUGUGCAACAAGUUUCAAACUACCAUUUGAACAAGAAGUAAAAUAGAGUUUCAAAGAAAUACCUUUAAAACAUUGAUUAUCAAAUAAUUAAAAAAAACUUCGAACCUUAUACCUAAUCUUUGUAAGUAAACUUAUAAGUAACAUGGAAAUCGAAAAGUCUUUAAGAUGAAUGAUUCAAAUCACUUUUUUGAGAAACCCAAAUUAAACAUUUUUUUUUUCGAAAAAACUACAGAAAAAUUGUCAUUGCCCGGAUAGGAAAAUUUGAAGUUU